rnacentral:rRNA from 1 species
UACGGAGGGUGCGAGCGUUGUCCGGAAUCAUUGGGCGUAAAGGGCGCGUAGGUGGCCCGGUCAGUCCGUGGUGAAAGCGCGGGGCUCAACCCCGCGUCGGCCAUGGAUACUGCUGGGCUGGAGCACUGUAGAGGCAGGCGGAAUUCCGGGUGUAGCGGUGGAAUGCGUAGAGAUCCGGAAGAACACCGGUGGCGAAGGCGGCCUGCUGGGCAGUUGCUGACACUGAGGCGCGACAGCGUGGGGAGCGAACAGG